UUUAACUGAAGAGUUUGAUCAUGGCUCAGAUUGAACGCUGGCGGCAGGCUUAACACAUGCAAGUCGAGCGGUAACAGGGGAGCUUGCUCCUGCUGACGAGCGGCGGACGGGUGAGUAACGCGUAGGAAUCUACCUAGUAGAGGGGGACAACAUGUGGAAACGCAUGCUAAUACCGCAUACGCCCUAAGGGGGAAAGGAGGGGACUUUUCGGAGCCUGCCGCUAUUAGAUG
rnacentral:rRNA from 1 species